rnacentral:tRNA from 1 species
CAUUGAACUUAAGAUUCAAAUAUAAAGUAUUUUUAAACUUUUAUUAAA